UGGUGCUUGCAUCAUGAUUUACAUUUGAGUGAGUGGCGAACUGGUGAGUAACACGUGGGAAACCUGCCCAGAAGCGGGGGAUAACACCUGGAAACAGAUGCUAAUACCGCAUAACAACUUGGACCGCAUGGUCCGAGUUUGAAAGAUGGCUUCGGCUAUCACUUUUGGAUGGUCCCGCGGCGUAUUAGCUAGAUGGUGGGGUAACGGCUCACCAUGGCAAUGAUACGUAGCCGACCUGAGAGGGUAAUCGGCCACAUUGGGACUGAGACACGGCCCAAACUCCUACGGGAGGCAGCAGUAGGGAAUCUUCCACAAUGGACGAAAGUCUGAUGGAGCAACGCCGCGUGAGUGAAGAAGGGUUUCGGCUCGUAAAACUCUGUUGUUAAAGAAGAACAUAUCUGAGAGUAACUGUUCAGGUAUUGACGGUAUUUAACCAGAAAGCCACGGCUAACUACGUGCCAGCAGCCGCGGUAAUACGUAGGUGGCAAGCGUUGUCCGGAUUUAUUGGGCGUAAAGCGAGCGCAGGCGGUUUUUUAAGUCUGAUGUGAAAGCCUUCGGCUCAACCGAAGAAGUGCAUCGGAAACUGGGAAACUUGAGUGCAGAAGAGGACAGUGGAACUCCAUGUGUAGCGGUGAAAUGCGUAGAUAUAUGGAAGAACACCAGUGGCGAAGGCGGCUGUCUGGUCUGUAACUGACGCUGAGGCUCGAAAGUAUGGGUAGCAAACAGGAUUAGAUACCCUGGUAGUCCAUACCGUAAACGAUGAAUGCUAAGUGUUGGAGGGUUUCCGCCCUUCAGUGCUGCAGCUAACGCAUUAAGCAUUCCGCCUGGGGAGUACGGCCGCAAGGCUGAAACUCAAAGGAAUUGACGGGGGCCCGCACAAGCGGUGGAGCAUGUGGUUUAAUUCGAAGCUACGCGAAGAACCUUACCAGGUCUUGACAUACUAUGCAAAUCUAAGAGAUUAGACGUUCCCUUCGGGGACAUGGAUACAGGUGGUGCAUGGUUGUCGUCAGCUCGUGUCGUGAGAUGUUGGGUUAAGUCCCGCAACGAGCGCAACCCUUAUUAUCAGUUGCCAGCAUUAAGUUGGGCACUCUGGUGAGACUGCCGGUGACAAACCGGAGGAAGGUGGGGAUGACGUCAAAUCAUCAUGCCCCUUAUGACCUGGGCUACACACGUGCUACAAUGGAUGGUACAACGAGUUGCGAACUCGCGAGAGUAAGCUAAUCUCUUAAAGCCAUUCUCAGUUCGGAUUGUAGGCUGCAACUCGCCUACAUGAAGUCGGAAUCGCUAGUAAUCGCGGAUCAGCAUGCCGCGGUGAAUACGUUCCCGGGCCUUGUACACACCGCCCGUCACACCAUGAGAGUUUGUAACACCCAAAGU
rnacentral:rRNA from 1 species